rnacentral:lncRNA from 1 species
AGCCUUCAGAACUGUGACAUAGUAAAUAUCUGCUCUUUAAGCUGCCUCACUUAUGGGGUUUUGUUACAGCAGCCCCAGCAGAUUAAUGCUGGCUUUUGCCACUCUGGAUCUUCCCCUGCACAUCUUCCUGGGAUGCCCUUUUCCUGAUCUCCAUGGGACUAACUCUUAGCCAUUUUCUAGGACUUUGCACAGGCAUUCUGAGAGGAUCAGGAAACUUCUCUACACCACCCGGCUAGGCUGUCGCCUACGGGUACUAUCAGCUCCUGGAUUAUAAAGUAAGCGAUGAAUUUCUGUCCUUCUGAGUGGAAUGAAGAUAAUGAGACCAUAUUCAUCUUCCCACCGAGUUAUUGGAUUCCAGUGACAGGCAGGGAGACAAGACAAACAUCAUCUUCUUACUGCCGAAGAACAUGAGUUGGGAUUUAUCAUAGAGGUUACGCUGUCAUCCCGCCAAGUUCCCUGACUGAUUUGGGACAUAGCCGAAACUUCAUGAGAGGAGGUGACGUCUAAAAUGCAGCUCAAAGAUAAGUGUGAUUAUCUAAGUGGAGGUCAGAAUCUCUGGCUGAGGGAACUGAAAAUGCACCAAGAGAGGGAGCUCAGAAGCCACACAGGGAUGAGGGGUGAGUCAGGUUGCUGAGGAAAGCACGAGGUCCUCUGGUACCACAUGUGAGCCUGCAAAUACCAUCUGAAAUCAGAUAUGAAAGUUGUCCUAGGUUAUGCCAAGGAGAUUGGGGGAGAACUGGCAGCUCUGUGGGGGGGGGGGUGGAGUUCGGCUGGGAGAAGCUCAAGGCCAAGACAGAAGAGAGGUCCUUGCCACUGCACAGCUGAGGAGAAUGGAGGGCCGCUGCGGACGCGAUGGAGCACAGGAUGCAGGCUGAGGCGCCCCGGGAGGCUGAGGGCUGCAGCAAAGAUGCCAGCAACUGGGAAUUUCAGACCCAUCAUGGCCAGAGGUGUAGAUUAAACGUGUGUCUGUGACACAGUGUGAAAUUGCCAAAUUUUACCCCUUCCCAGGGAUAUACUAUCAACCCCACCAUCAUGAAUGACAUGAGACAUUCAAGGCUGGUGAGAAUGGAUCUCAGAUUGAUCCACUGACACUGAUGCUGUUGAGUGUCAGUGCCCUGCUGGCAGCUGAAAGAAGGAGGAUGAGAAGUCUCACCACCUGCCCUCCAGGUGACAGCGAAGUGGGGAAGCAUCUUUCUAAUGUGAAGUUUCCCCAGAACAAGUAUAGCAUUCUGUAGCCCAGGAGGCUCCAGAGCAGGCUCUCUACCCUGGUAACUUGUGUCUUUUCCUUUCUUUCCUUGGUCAGACCACAAAAUAGCAUGCAAACUUAAUUUCCUUAGCUAAUUAUGCAUGCAAUUUUUUCUACAUUAUACUUUCUGUGACUUUCCAGGGUCUUGGAAACAACUCAGAAAAAUUAGGCCAUAAAAUCGACAAAUGAGAUUUUAAAUGACUAGUUUUCCUUUUGUAGCUAUGAUGAGUCACAAUUAGAUAAAAAUGUCAUUUUACAUUUCAGUCCCUGCUGGUACCACUAUUUUUUUUUUCCUCUGUG